rnacentral:rRNA from 1 species
GAUGAACGCUGGCGGCGUGCCUAAUACAUGCGAGUCGAGCGAACAGACGAGGAGCUUGCUCCUCUGACGUUAGCUGCGGACGGGUGAGUAACACGUGGAUAACCUACCUAUAAGACUGGGAUAACUUCGGGAAACCGGAGCUAAUACCGGAUAAUAUAUUGAACCGCAUGGUUCAAUAGUGAAAGACGGUUUUGCUGUCACUUAUAGAUGGAUCCGCGCCGCAUUAGCUAGUUGGUAAGGUAACGGCUUACCAAGGCAACGAUGCGUAGCCGACCUGAGAGGGUGAUCGGCCACACUGGAACUGAGACACGGUCCAGACUCCUACGGGAGGCAGCAGUAGGGAAUCUUCCGCAAUGGGCGAAAGCCUGACGGAGCAACGCCGCGUGAGUGAUGAAGGUCUUCGGAUCGUAAAACUCUGUUAUUAGGGAAGAACAAAUGUGUAAGUAACUAUGCACGUCUUGACGGUACCUAAUCAGAAAGCCACGGCUAACUACGUG